GUGAAUCAUCAAAUUUUUGAACGCAAAUUGCACUCUCUUCGGAGAGUAUGCCUGUUUGAGGGUCAGCCUAAAAAAAAUCGACAUAGUUGCUGUUUCGCGGUGACAUUCGUCGGAAAUUGGGUCAUCUUAAACCUUUGGGUUUUAAGCGGCUUAAAAUUUUCUUUACGAUUCCACGAACGUUUCUAAGAUUUUCUUUCUUACACUUUUAAGUUUUCAACCUUUUUUAACCUUGGC
rnacentral:misc_RNA from 1 species